GAAUCUGUGGUCUGGUUUGUGUAAAGCAGGAGGAGGAUAUCGGAAGACGCGAAAAUCCAUUGCACGAUUUGUAGUGCCUCUGCCAGAGCCAUAAGCUUGAGCAAAGAGUGCGAAAUGGAGAAAGAAGAGAUAGGGAAGGUCAAGGAGAAGGAGAAGCUGUGCAAGAGAUGCAAACAGUCUUUUACUUCCUCUUCUAACGCCUCCUCUGCUUGCCGCUUCCAUCCUUCCUUCUUUGUCUGUCGCCGUCACGAUGACCAGAAAAGGUACUAUGAAUUGGGACCUGAUGAUCCACCAUAUGCUGCCAAAUUUUAUGACUGUUGUGGGGCUGAGUAUCCUGAGGCGCCUGGCUGCACCACCAGUUUUCAUGUUUCAUAUGAUGACUGAUGUAAUGUUUCUCCUUAAUACCUAGAGUCUGACUGGAUUAAACUUGUAUAUGUUUCCAUACUUCCUCUCCAGCUAAUUAUUUCUCUUCAUAUUUACUUUGCAGCUUUGUGCCUCAAUAAAUUUAUCAUGCAAUAAUUGCUUCAGAUAGAACAAUAAAUAAUAACAUCUUCUGCCUGUAGUUGGGUCUUAGGUGCUUCCUAAUGAUCAUUUGAAGAUGGCAUGUGUUUUACUCAACCUGUUGGGAUUUGCUGGGAACAAUUUCCACGUGGCUAGAUUUUAAGUGGAUUAUCAUAUCUUAUGGUGAUUCACGUUGGCCACAUGGGUUCAUUUGAGUGGGUAAAUCACGCAAAUUUGUAGUAAGGUAGAUGAGGUUUUGAUUUCCUGGUUGAUGUGCAAGUGAAAGACUAUUCAUGAAACUGUGAGAUCCUUUUGAUGAGACGCAUUCUGGCUUCCUGUGACCUGAACUAUAUCAUUGCAGAAGGUUUGCAUUUAUAGAGAAAAAGGAAAGGAUUGUAAGAGGUAUGGACGAGAAAACAAAGGGCAAGAACACCAGUGGUAAUUGGAUACUGAAAUGAGUUGCCUACCUACCUACUUUUCGAGUCUAAAGCAUGUUAAUGGGAUUCGAUGCUACUAAUUAUGUAGCAUCUAAUGAUGUAGUUCUUCUCGAGUAUUUUGCUCUGGGACAACCUCAUUACUUUCUCUGUUUUCAUGUCGUUGGUCUCUUUUGCUCUCUAAUAAAUACUCGAAAGUGACAAAAAAGGCCAAAAGAAAAAAAGCCUCCAUGCGCUGUAUUUAUAGUUGAAACAUAUGAACCUAGAAUCUACUUGUGGAUAUGAACCCAGAAUCUACUUGUGGAAGUAGUUUUCCAUUUAGAAACAGCUAUCUUUGGGAAUAAGUGGAGAACAGUUGAACAUGCUAUCCAGUAUCCACAUCAGGUUUUAGAAAAGUAUCACAAACAGUAUAACACAUUAUCUAUUUGUCAUUUCAGGUCCUCAGGUUUUAAGAUAAUACUGUAAAUUGCUGAUUAU
rnacentral:misc_RNA from 1 species